UACGUAGGGGGCUAGCGUUGUCCGGAAUCAUUGGGCGUAAAGCGCGUGUAGGCGGUCCGGUAAGUCCGCUGUGAAAGUCGGGGGCUCAACCCUCGGAUGCCGGUGGAUACUGUCGGGCUUGAGUACGGAAGAGGCGAGUGGAAUUCCUGGUGUAGCGGUGAAAUGCGCAGAUAUCAGGAGGAACACCAAUUGCGAAGGCAGCCCCCUGGGAUAACACUGACGCUCAGGCACGAAAGCGUGGGGAGCAAACAGG
rnacentral:rRNA from 1 species